UACGUAGGUGGCAAGCGUUGUCCGGAUUUAUUGGGCGUAAAGGGAGCGCAGGCGGUGACUUAAGUCUGAUGUGAAAGCCCACGGCUCAACCGUGGAAGGUCAUUGGAAACUGGGUCACUUGAAUACAGAAGAGGAAAGUGGAAUUCCAUGUGUAGCGGUGAAAUGCGUAGAUAUAUGGAGGAACACCAGUGGCGAAGGCGACUUUCUGGUCUGUUAUUGACGCUGAGGCUCGAAAGCAUGGGUAGCAAACAGG
rnacentral:rRNA from 1 species